UACGUAGGGGGCGAGCGUUGUCCGAAGUUAUUGGGCGUAAAGAGCUCGUAGGCGGCUUGUCGCGUCGGAUGUGAAAGCCCGGGGCUUAACUCCGGGUCUGCAUUCGAUACGGGCAGGCUAGAGUGUGGUAGGGGAGAUCGGAAUUCCUGGUGUAGCGGUGAAAUGCGCAGAUAUCGGGAGGAACACCGAUGGCGAAGGCAGCACUCUGGGCCGGCACUGACGCUGAGGAGCGAAAGCGUGGGGAGCAAACAGG
rnacentral:rRNA from 1 species